rnacentral:rRNA from 1 species
AGCGAACGCUGGCGGCAGGCUUAACACAUGCAAGUCGAGCGGGCCUUUCGGGGUCAGCGGCGGACGGGUGAGUAACGCGUGGGAACGUGCCCUCUGGUUCGGAAUAACUCAGGGAAACUUGAGCUAAUACCGGAUACGCCCUUUUGGGGAAAGGCUUGCUGCCGGAGGAUCGGCCCGCGUCUGAUUAGCUAGUUGGUGAGGUAACGGCUCACCAAGGCGACGAUCAGUAGCUGGUCUGAGAGGAUGAUCAGCCACACUGGGACUGAGACACGGCCCAGACUCCUACGGGAGGCAGCAGUGGGGAAUAUUGGACAAUGGGCGCAAGCCUGAUCCAGCCAUGCCGCGUGAGUGAUGAAGGCCUUAGGGUUGUAAAGCUCUUUUAUCCGGGACGAUAAUGACGUUACCGGAGGAAUAAGCCCCGGCUAACUUCGUG